GCAGAAGAAAAGUGACAAGGUGACUGUGC
rnacentral:piRNA from 1 species